AUAUACCAUGCAUUUGUACCACGUCAAUGAUAAGAACAGCACACUGUAGAAAGUCAAAAUAUGUAGAGUACUACGUGCAUCCUAUAUUUUUCGAUAAAGAGAGUACUACAUCCAUCUUAAGAAAACAUCAAUCCCUUCUUUGUAUAAAGUUAAGACCCAAAGUUGAAACCUCAGCGUUCCACGUCGUCACUAAUUCUCAGCCAUUCGAUCGGUGGAUGAGAUCGCAUAUGAACCGUUGGAUGAGAAGGUUCCCGGGUGAAGCCCAGCCCAUCACGGCCCAUGUCCUCUCUCUCCAGGGUUUCUUCACCCUCCAUCGCAUCACAACAUCCGCUCUUCUCCUCCCCCAUCCGCGCGCGCCAGCCGCCGUGCUCGGCGGACGCGGACGAGCGCGGCGACGACGGCAUCAGACGCGGAUGAGGGAGGCGACAGCGGUCUAGGGCGCGGUGGACGCGGACGAGGGCGGCGACGGUCGCGGACGAGGGCGGUGGCAGCGGUCGAGGGCGGCGGCGGCGACGACGGCGGACGCGGACGAUGACGGCUGCGUUGGUCACGGCGAACGCGGACGAGGGCGGCAGCGGCGGAGGUCGUGGACGAGGACGGCAGCGGUUGAGGGCGGCGGCAGUGGUCGAUGGCGUGGUGGACGCGGACGAGGGCGGCGGCGGACGCGGACACGGACGAAGGCGGCAGCGUCGGUCACGGCGAACGCAGACGAGGGCGGCAAGCCGGCAACAACGGUCGUGGCAUAUGAUUUCUGAGAUUUAUUUGUUUUUGCAGCUCUAUGUGCAGAUGAGUACUCUCCGUCUCUCCGUCGCAUAUCGAGAAUGCCUAUUGCCUGUGAUGCCUUCUAUGUUUCGGUUCUGAGCAGCAGUUGAGCAAAUAAGGAGGCAAGAUUCUAAGGAUUCAAACUUAUUGUGUUUAGUUAAGCAACACAACAAGGUCAGCACUUAAUCUUUUUUUGUGUAUGUAUGGAUAUAUUCCCUUUAUUCAUUGAUUUGCACUACUUUAGCAUAGCACUAGCUGUCUUAUAUGGAAAUGAAUUGGUUACAUAUUGGUUCAAUCUAAAUAUAUAUAUACAGUAGACCCACCCGAUUCAUUUUGACCAAA